GAAUGGGCGCAGCUGAUCCAUUCCAUGCCGCGUGCGGGAAGAAGGCCUUCGGGUUGUAAACCGCUUUUGUCAGGGAAGAAAAGGUUCUGGCUAAUACCUGGGACUCAUGACGGUACCUGAAGAAUAAGCACCGGCUAACUACGUGCCAGCAGCCGCGGUAAUACGUAGGGUGCAAGCGUUAAUCGGAAUUACUGGGCGUAAAGCGUGCGCAGGCGGUUAUGCAAGACAGAGGUGAAAUCCCCGGGCUCAACCUGGGAACUGCCUUUGUGACUGCAUAGCUAGAGUACGGUAGAGGGGGAUGGAAUUCCGCGUGUAGCAGUGAAAUGCGUAGAUAUGCGGAGGAACACCGAUGGCGAAGGCAAUCCCCUGGACCUGUACUGACGCUCAUGCACGAAAGCGUGGGGAGCAAACAGGAUUAGAUACCCUGGUAGUCCACGCCCUAAACGAUGUCAACUGGUUGUUGGGAGGGUUUCUUCUCAGUAACGUAGCUAACGCGUGAAGUUGAUCGCCUGGGGAGUACGGCCGAAGGUUGUAACUCCAAGGAAUUGACGGGGGACCGCACAAGCGGUGGAUGAUGUGGUCUAAUUCGAUGCGACGCGAAAAAACU
rnacentral:rRNA from 1 species